rnacentral:rRNA from 1 species
AAUGAACGCUGGCGGCGUGGAUAAGACAUGCAAGUCGAACGAGAAACUUGAAUAGCUUGCUAAUUAAGUUUUUAGUGGCGGACGGGUUAGUAACACGUGAGCAACCUGCCCUAAAGCGGGGGAUAGCCCACCGAAAGGUGGAUUAAUACCGCAUGUGGCCUUCGGGUUAAAGGUGCCUUUGGGUAUCGCUUUAGGAUGGGCUCGCGGCCUAUCAGCUAGAUGGUGAGGUAACGGCUCACCAUGGCAACGACGGGUAGCUGUUCUGAGAGGAAGAUCAGCAACACUGGAACUGAGACACGGUCCAGACACCUACGGGUGCAGCAGUCGAGAAUCAUUCACAAUGGACGCAAGUCUGAUGGUGCAACGCCGCGUGGAGGAUGAAGGCCCUAGGGUCGUAAACUCCUGUCAUGUGAGAGUAAGGCAUAUGUGUUAAUAGCAUGUAUGUUUGAUAGUAUCACAAGAGGAAGGG